rnacentral:rRNA from 1 species
AUUGAACGCUGGCGGCAGGCUUAACACAUGCAAGUCGAGCGGAGCGGCGGUCGCGUGAGUAUUGCUUAGGAAUCUGCCAGGUAGCGGGGGAUAAGGUUCGCAAAUGGGCGCUAAUACCGAAUCCUAUCACAUGAGCCUAGGCCGGUAUAGCUAGUUGGUGGGGUAAAGGCCUACAAAGGCGACGAUCCGUAGCUGGUCUGAGAGGAUGAGCAGUCACACUGGGACUGAGACACGGUCCAGACUCCUACGGGAGGCAGCAGUGGGGAAUCUUUGACAAUGGGGGAAAGCCUGAUCCAGCAAUGCCGCGUGUGUGAAGAAGGUCUUCGGGUUGUAAAGCACUUUAAGUUGGGAAGCGUUACCCGCAGAAUAAGCACCGGCUAACUUCGUGCCAGCAGCCGCGGUAAAUC